rnacentral:miRNA from 1 species
UGGUGGUCAAGCAAGUAGAACGUU